rnacentral:rRNA from 1 species
CGGGUGAGUAAUGCGUGACCAACCUGCCCCAUGCUCCAGAAUAGCUCUUGGAAACGGGUGGUAAUGCUGGAUGCUCCAACUUGACGCAUGUCUUGUUGGGAAAGUGUUUAGUGGCAUGGGAUGGGGUCGCGUCCUAUCAGCUUGUAGGCGGGGUAAUGGCCCACCUAGGCUUCGACGUGUAGCCGGCCUGAGAGGGCGGACGGCCACAUUGGGACUGAGAUACGGCCCAGACUCCUACGGGAGGCAGCAGUU